UUGCUUCUUGAUUGAUUGUAUUAUCAUCUCCAGGUAUUGCGGAUAACACGUCGAAUGAGGAAGCUAUCGACCUAGAUUGAGCCUUGUAUAUUGUGAAGAAGCUUGUAGAUUUCUGACGUGUGUAUACAUCAGGAGCUCAUGGAUGUUGUUGCCAAGUAUGGUUGGACAUAGGACGUAUUAGUUUGGUUUGAUUUUGUUUUCGAUUUUGGUUUGACAUAUAUCAUAAUAUAAUUGUUGAAUUGACUCAA